GACGUAGGGCGCGAGCGUUGUCCGGAUUUAUUGGGCGUAAAGAGCGUGUAGGCGGCCAGACAGGUCCGUUGUGAAAACUGGAGGCUUAACCUCCAGACGUCGAUGGAAACCGUCUGGCUAGAGUCCGGAAGAGGAGAGUGGAAUUCCUGGUGUAGCGGUGAAAUGCGCAGAUAUCAGGAAGAACACCCGUGGCUAAGGCGGCUCUCUAGUACGGUACUGACGCUGAGACGCGAAAGCGUGGGGAGCGAACAGG
rnacentral:rRNA from 1 species